rnacentral:SRP_RNA from 1 species
GGUUGGGCCCCACGCAACGAGAAUCGUCGAACCCCGCCAGGCCCGGAAGGGAGCAACGGUAAGGCGACCCUCUCGUGUGCCGUGGGAGUACCUGACCGGA